rnacentral:rRNA from 1 species
AUACGUAGGUGACAAGCGUUAUCCGGAUUUACUGGGCGUAAAGGGCGUGUAGGCGGUCUUGCAAGUCAGAAGUGAAAUUCCUGAGCUCAACUCGGGCGCUGCUUCUGAAACUGCAGGACUUGAGUGCUGGAGGGGAUAGCGGAAUUCCUAGUGGAGCGGUAAAAUGCGCAGAUAUUAGGAAGAACACCGGUGGUGAAGGCGGCUUUCUGGACAAUACCUGGAGCUGAGGCGCCAAAGCGUGGGGAGAAAACAGGAUUAGAUACCCUGGUGUUCCACGCCGUAACCGAUGAAUACUAGGUGUAGGGGGUAUCGACUCCCUCUGUGCCGCAGUUAACACAAUAAGUAUUCCGCCUGGGGAGUACGGCCGCAAGGUUGAAACUCAAAAGAAUUGACGGGG